rnacentral:rRNA from 1 species
UACAGAGGUCUCAAGCGUUGUUCGGAUUCAUUGGGCGUAAAGGGUGCGUAGGUGGCGCGCUAAGUCAGGUGUGAAAUUUCGGAGCUUAACUCCGAAACUGCAUUUGAUACUGGCGUGCUUGAGGACUGGAGAGGAGACUGGAGUUCACGGUGUAGCAGUGAAAUGCGUAGAUAUCGUGAGGAAGACCAGUGGCGAAGGCGGGUCUCUGGACAGUUCCUGACACUGAGGCACGAAGGCCAGGGGAGCAAACGGG